rnacentral:rRNA from 1 species
AGAUUGAACGCUAGCGGGAUGCUUUACACAUGCAAGUCGAACGGCAGCGCGGACUUCGGUCUGGCGGCGAGUGGCGAACGGGUGAGUAAUGUAUCGGAACGUGCCUAGUAGCCGGGGGGAUAACUACGCGAAAGCGUGGCUAAUACCGCAUACGCCCUACGGGGGAAAGGGGGGAUCGCAAGACCUCUCACUAUUAGAGCGGCCGAUAUCAGAUUAGCUAGUUGGUGAGGUAAAGGCUCACCAAGGCCGCGAUCUGUAGCUGGUUUGAGAGGACGACCAGCCACACUGGGACUGAGACACGGCCCAGACCUCCUACGGGAGGCAGCGAGUGGGAAUUUGGACAAUGGGGGAAACCUGAUCCAGCCAUCCCGCGUGUGCGAUGAAGGCCGUUCGGUUGUAAGUCUACUUAA